AAUUAAUUUCUUAUAUAUAAUUAUUAUUAUAUACUUAUUAGAAAUAUCUUUUUAUUUAGUAUAUUAAGGAAAAAUUUAUAUAAUAUUAUAGUUUAUUAGUACUGUAAAGGAAUGAUGAAAUAUUUGAAAAUUAAUUUUUAUAUAAGUAAAUUUUAUUUAUUGUACCUUUUGUAUCAGGGUUAAUUAAAUAUUUUAAUAUAUUUUUAUCUCGAUUUCAGAAGAGCUAAAUUAAUAUUUUAUUUAUUGUUAUAUAAAUAUUAAAAAUAUAAUUUAGAAGGGAUAUCUUAUUCGUAUUUGAUGGUAUCUAGUUUUUUAAGAAAUAAAUUUAAUUUAGUUUUAAUAUUUAAAUUUAAUUAAUGUAAUUAUUAAUUUAUUUAUUAAAAUAAAAUUUGUAGGGGAUAAGCUCUAUUUAUUACUAUAAAUGUAUCUUUAUCUAUUUAUUGUAGGGUUAAAAAUAUCCAGCAUGAUUAAGUAUGUUAUAAUUUAUAUUAGAUAUAAUUUAAUUUUUUAUUAUUUUAGUAUACUAUUAAAAUAAUUAAAUGAAUAAGGAAUUUUAUGAAAUAAUGAUUAAAUUAGUAUAAUUAUAUUGNUUAAUUUUAAUUAUUGUUAUAAUAAAAUACAGGAACUCGGCAAAGAUAAUACUCGCCUGUUUAACAAAAACAUGUCUUCUUGACUAUGUAUAGGAAGUCUGACCUGCCCAGUGAUUAAAUUUUAACGGCCGCGGUAUAUUGACCGUGCAAAGGUAGCAUAAUCAUUAGUCUUUUAAAAGAGGGCUGGAAUGAAAGGUUUGACGAAGUAUUAACUGUCUCAUUUUAUUUGAUUUAGAAUUUAAUUUUUUAGUCAAAAAGCUGAAAUUCAAUUGGAAGACGAGAAGACCCUAUAGAGCUUUAUAUUUAUUUAUUUAAUUUUAUUUAUAUUAUUUGAAUUUAUAUAUAAUAAUAUUAUGUUGGGGUGACAAAAAUAUAUAAGUAACUUUUUUAUUUAUUUUACAUUAAUUUAUGAUUAAUAGAUCCAUUAUUAUUGAUUAUUAGAUUAAGUUACCUUAGGGAUAACAGCGUAAUCCUUCUCCAGAGUUCAUAUUUACAGAAGGGCUUGCGACCUCGAUGUUGGAUUAAGAUAAUAAUUAGGUGUAGGUGCUUAAUUAAUAGGUCUGUUCGACCUUUAAAUUCUUACAU
rnacentral:rRNA from 1 species